CGCAGGUCCAUCCCACAGGUUGGCGCCGCAUGGGGUAGCGGCUGGGCAGGUGCCCUCCAGCCCCUGCGCGGACUUAGGACCGGGGUAGUGACCUUGACAACCCCUCCGCUGCCCGGGGGAGGCUCGAGAUGGUCACGGGAUUGGGAUAGUGGUGUGACAGUCUCCAGGCGGCGCGGGGCGGACACCGCACGGGGCAGUGGCCAGUCCGCCCCUCCGGGGCCCGGGAGAGGCUCAGCCGCGCGUGGCUCUGCCCUCUCCCCAGCGUCUCCAGCGUCCCGCCCGCGGCGCAUCUGGGGCCGGGCUCGGGCGAGCGGCCAGCCCUACCUCCUCGGUGGCCGUGGGGCAGUAGGAGAUGAGCACGAGCGUGGCCUAGGACAAGCCAGAAAUUGCUUCCAAGACACUUGCGUGGCGCAACCUCUAUCAGCAAGCGCAUCAGGGAUCCACAAACUGCUCCUGUGGGCCAGAGCCAGCCACCGCCUGUUUUCCUACAGCCCUCCAGCUAAGUACGGUUUUUACAUUUUUAAAUGAUUGGGAAAAAAUCCAAAGAAUACUAUUUUGUAAUGUGAAAUUAUAUGAAAUUCAAAGUUCAGUGCCACAAAUAAAGCCAUGUCUAUUCCUUACGUAUUGUUUGGCUGCCUUCAUGCUACAGAGGCAGCAGAAUUCAAUUGUGACAGAGACCAUACGGCUGGCAAAGCCUGGAAUAAGUCCUACUAGGCCCUUUAAGGAAAAAAGUGGCAACCACUGCCUUAGAGCAAUGAGGAUGUCUACAGACCAAGCAUGUAUGUUUUAGGAAUAUGUAUCAUCUUCUCAUCUUUAAUGUGAAAAGCGAUGCUGACAAAUGCAGGAAAGGAAAUGGAAUGAUGGAGACCCACUUUUAACAAUGCCGGCUUAUGUGCAGUGAUCUUGACAGUACCUACUUUUUAAUUUACCAAUGCCAUGAAUUGUCCAAGGAAAAAUCCUUUUUCCGAUUAGCAAAUUUUACUGUAUUAAAUUUCUAAUGUACAUCAAAAGACAUCAUAAAGAGAAUGAAAAUGCAAGCCAUAAACUGGAAAAAGGCAUUUCCUUCAAAUAAAACCCACAAUGACUAGUACCCAGAUUACGUAAAGAACUCCUAAAAAUCAAUCAGAAACAAAAAUAAUCAACAGGGCUAUGUUCAGUUUCUAUAGCAGAAACCCUGGAACAUGGUAAUGUAAAGAAAAUAUUUCUCUCUCACAUGAAAGAAGUAUAGAAUUGGCACUCCAAGAUUGGUACAAUGUUUCCAUGGUCAUCAGGAACUCAGGCUGUUCUGUCUCUCUGCUCCAGUAUCCUCUCUGACUUGUAUCUAUAAGGUCAUCUCAUGGUUCAGAAUGGCUAGUGAAGCUCCAGUCAUCCUAUUUGCAUUUCAAGCAGCAGGAAGUAGGAAGAGGAGAGGAAAAAAAAAAAAGG